rnacentral:lncRNA from 1 species
CUCCUCAUUAUGGGUUCUAUUUUCCUGCUUCUUUGCAUACCUGGUAAUAUUUUGAUUGUGUGCCAGCUAUUGUGAAUUUUAUCCUUUCAGGUGCUAAUUUUUUUGUAUUUCUAUAAAUAUUCUUGAGCUUUGUUCCUAGAUGCAGUUACUUGGAAACAGUUUGAUCCUUUCAGGUCUCGCUUUUAAGCUUUGUCAUGUGGGACCAGAAAAGUGUUUGAUCCAGGAAUAAUUAUUCCCUACUACUAAGGUAAGAUGUUUCUGAGAGCUCCACCUGAUGGAACAGGAGUUAUUCCUGGGUAUUAUGGUAUCUAAUCCUUUCAAGUACUUCUUCCUCUUUGCCUCAGGUCAUUUCCUCACAAGCAUUUGUUGAUAAGCACUCUGCUGAGUACUUAAGGAGAGCCCUCUGCAAAUCUCCAGAGCUCUCUUUUCCAGCUUUCUCUCUCUGGUACUUCGCUCUGCCAAUUGUAGCAGACUUGGCCUCCUGAACACCCAGGCUUAUCUCCUCCACUUAAGAACACCCAGAUCUGUCUGAGUUCCCCUCCCUAUGUUGUGGACUGGAGUCUCUCUCAAGGAACAAGCUGGAAAACCUCAUUGAGCCUGGGCUUCAGUAUUGAUACCGUUAUAGAAAUCGUGAGUCUCCACUGUGUUUUCUUUGAAAGGUAUACAAAUACAUUAUGCUUUUUGGGGGUCUUGGAGACAAUCUUCUAGUAUUUGGGCAAAUUUGGCUUGGCAGUGAAGCCGGAGGUACAGCCAGGAAAACCCUGCACUACUCUUUUAAAGACUGUUGUUAAGAGGAAAUUGUUUAAGCAUUUUACACACCACUGCUUCCCACUGGGCGUGGAAGAGCUGCUUCUGGGGCGUAUGCAGACACAGCUUUAAAUAGCCUUGACCCGUAGAAUGAAGUAGACCUUCCACAAAUCCCUUUCAAUCUGAUUAUACGGGAAGAUUUCACUUGUUAUUACUCUGUUUUUAACACUUCUCUAGCGCUUGCUAAUCUCCCCUUCUAAGCGGCAAAUAGUCUUCAAACACAACACUUUCAGUGAGAAGUGGUUAUAUGGCCAGCAACAUGCAAUAGAAUAUUAUUACUGUAU